rnacentral:rRNA from 1 species
AACGAACGCUGGCGGCAGGCUUAACACAUGCAAGUCGAGCGCCCCGCAAGGGGAGCGGCAGACGGGUGAGUAACGCGUGGGAAUCUACCGAGCCCUGCGGAAUAGCUCCGGGAAACUGGAAUUAAUACCGCAUACGCCCUACGGGGGAAAGAUUUAUCGGGGUUUGAUGAGCCCGCGCUGGAUUAGCUAGUUGGUGGGGUAAUGGCCUACCAAGGCGACGAUCCAUAGCUGGUCUGAGAGGAUGAUCAGCCACAUUGGGACUGAGACACGGCCCAAACUCCUACGGGAGGCAGCAGUGGGGAAUAUUGGACAAUGGGCGCAAGCCUGAUCCAGCCAUGCCGCGUGAGUGAUGAAGGCCUUAGGGUUGUAAAGCUCUUUCACCGACGAAGAUAAUGACGGUAGUCGGAGAAGAAGCCCCGGCUAACUUCGUGCCAGCCGCCACCGUAAUAC